UUGAACUUAGUUAAUGAAUGUACAGGAUAGGUGGGAGACGAAGAAGCAAGCUCGCCAGAGUUUGCAGAGUCACUGUUGGGAUACCACCCUUUUAAUUCUAAAGUUCUAACUAGUUACCAUGAAGCUGGUAAUAGGACACUGUCAGUCGGGCAGUUUGACUGGGGCGGUCGCCUCCAAAAAAGUAACGGAGGCGUUCAAAGGUUCCCUCAGGCUGGAUGGAAAUCAGCCUAAGAGUGCAAACGCAUAAGGGAGCUUGACUGCAAGACUGACGGGUCGAGCAGGUAC
rnacentral:rRNA from 14 species